rnacentral:rRNA from 1 species
UACGGGAGGCAGCAGUGGGGAAUAUUGCACAAUGGGCGCAAGCCUGAUGCAGCCAUGCCGCGUGUAUGAAGAAGGCCUUCGAGUUGUAAAGUACUUUCAGUCGUGAGGAAGGUGUUAAGGUUAAUAACCUUAGCAAUUGACGUUAGCGACAGAAGAAGCACCGGCUAACUCCGUGCCAGCAGCCGCGGUAAUACGGAGGGUGCGAGCGUUAAUCGGAAUUACUGGGCGUAAAAGGGCACGCAGGCGGUUAAUUAAGUUGGAUGUGAAAUCCCCGGGCUUAACCUGGGAAUGGCAUUCAAGACUGGUUAGCUAGAGUCUUGUAGAGGGGGGUAGGAAUUCCAUGUGUAGCGGUGAAAUGCGUAGAGAUGUGGAGGAAGUACCGGUGGCGAAGGCGGCCCCCUGGGACAAAAGACUGACGCUCAUGUGCGAAAGCGUGGGGAGCAAACAGGAUUAGAUACC